rnacentral:rRNA from 1 species
AGAAUGAACGUUGGCGGCGUGGAUUAGGCAUGCAAGUCGAGCGAGAAUUUCCCGCAAGGGGAAGGACAGCGGCGAAAGGGAGAGGAACACGUAGUUACCUACCCUCAGGUCUGGGAUAGCUCCGGGAAACCGAAGGUAAUACCAGAUGACAUCGGAAGAUCAAAGGUGUGAUUCCGCCUGAGGAGGGGACUGCGUCCUAUUAGCUUGUUGGUGAGGUAACGGCUCACCAAGGCAUUGAUUGGUAUGGGGUGUGAGAGCAUGCCCCCACUCACUGGGACUGAGACACUGCCCAGACACCUACGGGUGGCUGCAGUCGAGGAUCUUCGGCAAUGGGCGCAAGCCUGACCGAGCGACGCCGCGUGCGGGAUGAAGGCCUUCGGGUUGUAACCGCCGUCGGAGUGGAGGAAUUCCAUAGAGUAAUCUUUAUGGAUUGACUAAUACUCAGAGGAAGGACGGGCUAAGUACGUGCCAGCAGCCGCGGUAA